rnacentral:lncRNA from 1 species
GAUUGCCUUCCAAAUGAAAGCUGGACGUGGCCCACUAAUUAUUUUUCAAGAAUAAAGGUUCUGUAAUUCUUCCUAUGGACUUGAUUGCUCAGAAAAUUAGAGAUAGCCUUUCACAGGAAAGCUGGAUAUGGCCCACUAAUUAUUUCUUAAGAAUAAAGGUAUGAACAUGUUUUACUUAA